CGCAGGAAUAAAUUUGCCAUAUGGUAUAAAUACAAGACGCCGUCAAAAUCAGUAUUUACGCAGCAAAGACGAUCAAGAAUGGUUGUGAGACGCCAUUGCCGAAUUCUUGAAGUUCAAGUUGAAAACAUGGACAGGCAAGAACAUCACAUAAGUUGUACAUGUUAUAUAGUACCUGUUACAUGAAAGAAAUGACAGAGUAUUUGAUGUGAUGCACAUGGGAUAAAAUGUAGGCAGAACCCUGAACCAUGGAUGGCUUUUUGAAGGAAGUGGUUGUCAUUGAUGUUGCAUAUUGUCUUUAAUUGUAAGGCAGAUGAGGGUUUUAGUUGCAUGGGGAAUGUCGACAAACUGGAAAUAUGUGAACCCUAGCUUUUGUUGUCUGGUGGAAGAUAGGCAUUGAAGUGAUGUGAUACCAAAGCUGUUGGUUAUAGUGUAGAAGAGGGGCAUUGAAGAUAAAUAAGUGGGCAAUUUAAACAUCUUUGAAUAGAUUUUCAUAGCAAUAGUUUCAAUUUUGCCAUAGAUUAUUGAAAAAGUUUCAGGUUCAAAAGGAGAGUACCAUAUACUGGCAGCAAAUAAUUUUUUCUUGUGCAUUAUUCCUAUAUGCAUUUAGAUCCUUGAUGUCUGACAUCCUGACUUGAAGAUUUCUUUUGUCUAUUCAUUUAGAUUUUAAGCAGCUUAUCCUUAUUAUUCAUGGAUUUAUUAUUUGGAUUUUGAUUGUGCUAUCUAGUAAUUCAUGCAGUGUUGUAGAAUUUUUUUCCAUUGGGACCAUCAUCUUAGCAUGGGAAUGACCUACUACCUUCAUUGCAGAUAAAAAUGGGAAUGGAAUGUAAAGACGAAAGAAAUAAUUUGAAUGAUGAUAUAUUAAAUAUUUAAAAACAAGGUUUUUUCCUCCUUUGACAGCCUUAGAUUAAUACAACUUUUAUAGCCUUGAUUUGAUUAGUACUGUUUGUGUUUCAGAUAUAUCUAAUUGCAUUUAAUCGUCAUUGUAACUGCAAGGGAUUUAAAAUAAUACAACUUUGAUAUGUUUGAUUUGAUUGGUUCCAUUUGUCUUUCAGAAAUACUCAAUUGCAUUUAACAGUCAUUGUAAUGGCAAGGAAUUUAAAAUAUUAUUUGCUAUAUAUAGUAAUCCUAAGUAUUUAUCUAGGUGAUGUGGUUUGUAAACUAAUAACCCUAAGCAAUUCUUUGAAUUUUAGACGCAUUAAACAAUAGUUAUCAAUAUUUGCUAAAUCAUAUACAGGUACCUUGUUACUAAUAAAUUAAUUCACUGAUUUUUCCAAUUUAAUACAGAUUAGUUAUAACAGCUUUGUUGACCUUGAGCAAUUUGGUGUAAAUGUUGAAAGUUUGUUACCAUUUCAUUUCUGUACACUGACCGAUAAAUUUACCAAUGUCGGAAUGUCGACAAGUUACAGUAAUGAUAUGAUAAAGAUUUUACAGAAACCGUGCAUCUUGGGACUUCACAUAAGCAAGCCAAUAAUUUGGAAACCAUACUUGUUUGUAGAAUUUAUUUAUUCAAAUUGACAAUUUCUCAAAGUAAAGCAAAAUACGGCUGCAACUAGGAUUGAUUUGUAGAAAUGAUUCAGAAGAUAAAUCUUGUCCAUACUUGAAAGAAAUAACUCUUAAGUUCAGCUGUUAAUAUAAAAUUACCAAGUAUUUAAGUUGUAUUUAUGAAAGAAUUCUGAGAAUUGAAGUUUGUUGCAGGCUUUCAUUUCUGUUUUAAUUUAGAAAUCUACAGAAUGAAAAUGCAUGAAUGGCUGUAUGGUUUAUAUAAGAUCGGAAUAAUUCUUAAAAAGGGAUAGAUAUAAUUUGACAAUGAUUAGAUUUUAUCCUUAAAAUUUGGAUAUAGUUUUCACAUGCUGUUUGUUACCCUUUGAAGCCUUGUGGUGGAAUAGUGUUAUAUUUGGACAUAGAAGCUAUUUAUACUAUCAGCUUAUACAAGUGAUGCUUUGGAUUUUUAAAAUUUUUUAUUAGUAAGCAGGAUUUUUUAAUGGAUAUAACCAUGACCUAAUUUUUUCAGCAAGACCUUUAAUAGAUGCAAGACAUCCCAGAAUAAAGAAGGCUAAAUCUGGCAAAUGUAAUUGGACCAACUUGAAAGGCAUUAGCAAGAAAAUUAAUGAUGAUUUUGUUUAGUGAAUUUUACAGAAGCUAUGCUUCAAUAAAGAGUUUUGCAGUUCAAAUAAUUUGGGGAAAUGCAGUCGAGACCUUUUGGACAAGAUUCCUUUCAGAUUAAAAUGUCCUUUUGUUUUAAUCCAAACAGGUCUAAUGUAUGAUUUAGCAAUUGGGGAAUUGCUCGCCCAUUCUGCUGUAAAUGGAUAAUGCUUCAUCUCCAGAUAUUUUCACAAGCUAUUGUUGGAAGCUUCCAGUGGAUUAAGGUUGUUUUGGUAUAGACGUACUUAAAAACUUGAGAUAAACAGCAAAUUCAAGUAUUAAAUUAGAGGCAAGUGACCCCUGAAUAAAGCUUGCAAAUAUGAUUGUACCAUAUUGAAAGGCAUAAACAAGUCAUUAACAAAAUUUAUGAAGGUUUGAGAGCAAUUCAGAUGUGGGGAAAAGGCAGUCUAGCCCUCUUGGACGGACAAGAUUCCUUUCAGCUUUAAAUGUCGUAGAUCUAGUGUAUAAUAAAUCAUUUUAUGAGGCAAGGCUCGACCAUUCUGCAGUGAAUGGAUAAUACUACUUCGGAUUUGAAUGCAGUUGGGACCUUGGGGACAAGAUUCCUUUCUGAUUUAACUGUCCUGUGUUUUAAUCCAAACAGAUCUAAGGUAAAAAUUGAGCAUUUGUGAGGCAGUGAUUGACUAUUCUGCAUUAAAUGGAUAAUGCUUCAUCUCCUGAUUGGAAUAAAUCAAUUAUUGGACUGAAUGAAUUUGAAGUUAAAUUUUGCAAACCUUAUAUUUAGGUAACCAGUAUUUAUAACACUUGGACAACAAUGUUGGAGGUGAUUCUUAAAGCCAGUCAACAUGAGUAAAAUCUUCAGGAUUUGUUUAAUAGGUUCUUGUUUAAAAGAAUUGGUUCAUCUAUUUCAGAUUUUUAUAUGGAAUGAAAUUACUACCAAAAAGAUGGUUAAAAAGUGUUUCUUUUUUGUUCAGUCCACUUUAUGACGUGACUAAUAAUUCCAAAAAUAAUUCUUGAUUAUUUCUAGGAAGACAAGUGUAAAUGUGCAGUUUGUCCAAUUAAAACCAAAGAAGAAACAGUUGAACACAAAAUAAACCACUUUUUUAUUUCCAAAUUAUAUUCAAAUGAUGAGACAAAGAUUUUUACUCAAAUUCAAGGAGGAAACAGCAACCACAAUGGGAUUCCUUUCAGGUUAUGAUCUUAAAAAAGAUAAGUUCUGUUGUUUGAUUGCUCGAAAGAUCCAUUUCAACUUUCAGAUGUCUACUUGAACAAAUAUAGGAACCAAUGCCCUGCAAGGUACAAAAAGAAACGCAAUUUCAGCUCAUGCAUGGACAUUUUUUAUUAUUAUUAUUAUUGCACUAUUUCUAAACACAGUUGAACAUAACCAACAGCCCAUGUGGAUGCAAUUAUGAAAUAUCUACCCAAAGUGACUCAUAAGCAUUUUAGAAAACACAGGUGCCAUGAUAUAAAUUUUAUCACCUUGGUCUAAACCCAUCAGUAGAUAACGGAGACAACUAAAGACACCAAACAACCCUUGUCAAGAGCAACUUAUUUAGGUAACAAUUACAAGAGAAAAUGCAGUAAACAUCAGUAUUGGUUCUUUCAGGUUGUCUCAACUUUAACUUGAAUCAAAUCAUCUUAGAGAAGGUUGUCAUAUUUCAGAUCCGGUUUCAAGUCUAGUUGAGCUAUAUAGAAGUGAGGCAUAGUCUAGUGCAUAAAGUUCAAUUAAAAAUGCAGUAUCUUUUUCAAUAUCAAGAUGGAUUAUUUACCUACAUGAAGCUGUAGUAGAAAUUUAUUUGAAUUUUAAAGAGGCUCUCAUAUAAAGGACAAAGCUUUUAAAGAAUAGAAAAACCACACUAAAGAUUUUAAUUUUUGAAACAAUACCAUCACGUGUAUAGAUGAGCAAUUGUGGCUCCGCUAACAAUAGUAUAUGCGAAUUUGCAAGACACCAUUAACCCAGGGAAGAUCAUAAAAAUUAGCAAAACUAAUCUAGAGGCUUCCAUAUUUCUGGACAAAGCUGAAUUGGCAAGACACCAUUAACCCAGGGAAGAUGAUAAAAAUCAGCAAACCUAAUUGAUGAUAUCAGUAUAUAUUUAAGUCCUGUUUUAAAUCUAAACCAAUAUUUGCAGGGAUAAGAAAUAACAAGAAAUAUCUUGAACACUAUGCUCAUGGUUUUCUGUUUUCUUUAUUGAAGUUAUGGUGGUCAAUAGAUCUUCUUUUCAUUUAUCAGAAGGACAACUUUAAUUUUUAGGUUAAGUGGUCAGGUGGACACCAUAUAUUUCUAGAAAAUGACUACAACACUUGCAGUACAGUAAAUGAUGAAUCAAUGUCAAAUUUUUCAAGUGCUAACAGCAAAAUAUAAUUAUCAGCAUACUACUAAAUGAUACAACAUUUUCAUCUUAUUGAAAUGAUUAUUUUAAGGAAAAGAUAAAUAAUGUCAAAUGAAUUCAAAGCUUUUAGGAAAAAGAAAUGGAAUGGAACCGAUAAAAAUUUCAGGAAUUAGUCCAGUAAGAUGUAGAUUUAAUUGCAGAAGCAAUUUCAACAUUAAAUUGACCCAACGCUGAAUUUGAUGUCGCAAAGUUGAGGCUUUAAAUAUUGUUUUCUUUUUCCAAGCAUGACAAUGACAUAUCCAUGUAUUCAGGCAUCAAUCAUUUCUUUUCAUAGAUGUGAUCGUGAGGCUCUUUUUCAUAGAAGCAGUCUGAAGGCUCUAAAAACAUCACAGGUUUAAGCUUUUGAAGAAGAGAUGGUUGUUUCAAGAAACCAGUAUUUAUAUCGAUAGAUACGUAUAGAAGAUAGAUAUGUAUAGAAAAUGGCAUUCUUAAGCCUUUUAGUAAAUUGUGACUGUUUUGAUGUUCUGAUUUCUCAAUUCCAAGCUUAAUUUGUUGCAAGUUUUAAUCUUGAAAACAUUGGGGAAACAAAAUAUAAAGGGCUUGAAUUGUUCAUCUUAAAUUCUUUAUUUGGUUUUAGAAAUGUAGUUUGUAAUUAACAUCACAUGAAUACUAUUGGUUUUUAUAGCUAAAUAUUAAUGCAUUAUUAUAGCUCUUUUGUCCAUUGUGUUUUUGCACUUGUCAUUCUAACAAGAAGUGUCUUUUGUGGGGAAUAAUUUCUUUUUAGCUAUAAUUGCUACAGUAUGAUUAUUUUCUCACUCUAAGUGAAGCUUGAAUAUAUAUAUAUAAACAAAUUUAAAUUAUGGAUGUUGCAUGAAGUUCUGAUAGUUUACAGCUUUAAAUCUAAGGGUUUGGUAGGGAUUAAUCACUUGACUCUUUAUAGUGCUAUCAUUGUAUCAAGAUGCUGAACGAAUGUGAGGUUUGCAGAUUUAGAUGAAUCACUAGCCUGUGCACUAGAACCAAGAAAGUUGAGGUAGUGUUGUCUGUAUUAAUGAAAUUAUUAUUUGCCUGAAACUUUUUGAUUUGAUAAAAAUUCUAAAGAUUAUGGUUUCUUCUUUUUUUGCAAAAGAUAUUUGAAAUUUUAUACGAUUUGAAAAUGUAGAUAUUAUCAAAUAACAUAAUAUUUUAUAUAUAAUUUAUAUUUUUUGUGAUUGUAAAUACCGGUAUGCAAUUGGGAGGGGUUGAUUUUCAGUGCAUUAACAUUGUCCCUGAACAAGACCUGCUGUAUGUUGAUGGGAAUCCACAUGCCAUUAUGAUAGUAAAAGGAAAGUGGUUUUGAUUAAAUCUAGUAAUGUCCUUGUCCAGAUAUAGGCAGUCUCCUCCAAUCCCAUCUCCAGAAAGUAAAGACGCUCUAACCAAAUCUUUACGGUAUGAAAUAGUUAAAAUGCAUGUAAUAAUUCAAGACUUUUGUUAGCUGUAUGAUUUUUCACUGGUACAAAGUAAAAUGCACCUUUGAAGUGUACCUUGCUACCUAUAAUAUACUGAAUAAUCUUCAAAUAGCUUUAUAAAUUUUUGCUUAGUUUUGAAGUUGAUACUUUUCAAUGAACUUGUGUAAAUGAAAUACAGUAUUGAAAAUAUAUAUAUAUGCUUAACGGCUAACUAUAAAUGCAUUAGUCUUAAGAGUUUGGGGGAGGGGAUUAAUAUGAAAUAGAUUUUUUUGGCAGUGAAUUUGGUGAUCAAUAACAGCAGAUAUCUGCACAUGCACUUGGCCCAGUUGUGAUGCAGCAUAUCUCCUCGAAUGGAGUCCAAUUAGUAAGAACCCUAAUGAAGAUGAUACUAUACAUGUGAAUAAUGUUAAUGAGGAGAGAAUGGAAAUAAGAGAAAUGGAGUAAUUUGAGUUCAGUUGGUAAGCCCAUUUUCUAAAUGACUUGCUGAAGUUGGACAUUUUUUUUAUAAAUUGUUAUUGUGAAGUAAAAUAGACCUGUUGAAACUUUUCAGAACUUACUUUAAAAUUUUGUGUGUGCAAGGAAAAAAAAUUUGAAAAUUGUGCAAAAAUCAAAAUACUUAAAACCAAAAUUUAAUAUUGAUAACUGUAAUAUGAUAGAAAGAUCUAAUUUGUUUAUUUUCAUUUAUACUUCUGAAAAUCAUUGUGAAUACAAAUAUUUGUGUGGAGGAAUAUCUUAAAAAGUGUAAAGGUACUGGAAGUAAACGAGUAAAAUUGUAAUUAAUUAUAGUAAUAGUGGGGGGAUUGGGAAGAUAAAUGAUUUUGUCAUUGCUGCAGAUAGCGAUUUUUCCAUGUAUUCCUUCCCAUGACCAGUUCUUAAAUGGAACGAUCUAUAGGAUCCCAUUUAGCCAGCUUCCAAGCCUGUUUCUUUUAAAAGGAGGAUAAAAUCUACAGGUAUUGUGUUUGAAACUAAUUGUUCUGUGUCCAUCUCAUGAUUUAUGAUAAAUUCUUAUGAAUGGUAAUUUCCUUUUGUCUUGCAUUGUUUUAGCCAACUUUAACAAAGAAUACAUUAUUUAUUGUUGUAGAUUUAAAAUUUUAUCAGGAGCCUUCUAAGCUUUAAAAGUUUGUAUUCAGAUCAUUCAUUUAAAGGAAAAUGAGAAUUUGAUAUUCUAAACACAAAUUGGGAUGGGGGUUUGUGUAUUUUUAAUCAUAUAUAGUUUAUUGUCAGGAAAUGUUGAGAGAUAGAAAAAAAGAUGAGUGACCCCAUGAGUGGUAACCAUUACAACUGUAAUUUUUGUGUUGUACAUUGCUUUCUAAUUUGUAAAUUCAAAUGAAAUAUAUUUCAUUAUUAAUAUUAACUAAUUUCAUGAUUCAGAUUUUAUUGUUGGAGGUUUCUUAACUUGUAUUCAAAUUUUCUGUGAAUCAAACUUUUAUAGUAAAAUAAGGAUUUCAUAGUUAAAAAAAGUGGGAAAAUUUGGUGGGAAAGGGUAACUAAUUAUAUCUUUUGUCAGUGAUACCUAUGGAACUGGAAGACCCAGUUUGUGAUUUGCUUAAGUUUGGUAUGAAAGUAACCUGUGGGACUUAACUGAUAUUGAAUGCUGCUUAAUAUGUGAAAAUAUGCAGGUUAAAUUCCUUCAAUAGAAGCACAGAAAAGUUUAUCAAGUAUGUUUUAAAGAUCAUCAUGGGCCUAAGAACAUGGAUGUAAAAUGUAUACUGUAUUGAAGUAAGAACAUUUAUUGAUAUAUAGAUUUUAUUGGUAAUUUAAAGUUUUGAUAAAUAUGUUGUUGAAGAUGUUUGAUUGUCAGGGUUUAUUUUAUAAUUCGUAUAUAUAGUUAUAUCUAUCAUGUAAUCAUAUCUCUGAGAUAUUUUUAAUUUGAUUUCAAAAAAGUCUCAAGCAUGUUUAUCAGCAAAGAUUAUGCUUAUUUUGCAAUAUGUGUCUGAAAUUUUAUACCAUUUAAAAAUGUAUUGGCAAAUAACAGUAACACUUGUAUUAAUAUUUUUUUGUGAUCGUAAAUAUCUGUAUGCAAUCGGAUGGGGUUGAUUUUCAGUACAUUUUCCAUGUCCUUUCAAGAUCUGCUGUAUGUUGAGGGAAAUCCACAUGCCACUAAGAGCAUAAAGGGUAAUUAAUGUUUGUCCAGGCUGUCUUCUCCAAUCCCAACUCCAGAUAACCAAAUCUGCGGUAUGAAGUAGUUAGUAAAAAUGCAUGAAAUAUUUGAAGAGUUUUGUUAGCUGUUUAAUACCACUUGUAUGAUUUCUCACUGGUACGAAGUAUAAAUGCACCUUUGAAGUGUACCUUGCUACCUAUAUUAUACUGAAUAAUCUUCAAAUAGCUUUAUAAAUUUUUGAUUAGUUUUGAAGUUUAUAUUUUUCAAUGAACUAAUUUUAAAUGAAAUAACAGUUUUAGAAAUAUAUGCUUUACUGCUAACUAUAAAUGCAUUUGUCUAGUUAGGGGGAGGGGAUUAAUAUGAAAUAGAUUUUCUUGGCAGUUUUGUCAUAAUCAUGAAAAGCAGAUUUCUGCACAUGCGCUUUGACUAGUUGUGAUGCAGCAUCUGUCUCCUCGACUUCCAGUCCAAUCAAUUAGAACCCUAAUGAAGAUGAUACUAUGUGUAUAAUGUUAAUGAGGAGAAAAUGGAAAUAUGUUAAGAGAUGUGGAGUUAAUUGAGUUCAGUUGGUAAGGCCAUUUUCUAAUUACCUUGCUGAAGUUAGGCCAUGAUUUUGCAAAGUAAAAGAUCCAUUGAAUCUGUUCAGAAUGCAGUUUAAAUUUGUGUGGACAAUGAAUACAAAUUAUAUAAGAACGAAUUACUUUUGUUUAUUUUCCUAUACUUGUGAAAAUCAAAUUGUGAUUGCAAAUAUUUGUUUGAAGGAAUAUCUUAAUUUGAAAAAGGUACUUGGAGUAAAAAUUUAUAUUCACGUUGCAGUUAAAUUAUAAUAAUAAUAAAGGGGGGAUUGGGACGUUGAAUGUUUUUUUCCUUUAUACAGAAAGUGAUUUUUACAUGCACUCCAUCCUGUGACAAGUUCUUAAAGGAACUAGCUAUAUCAUACCCAUUUAGCCAGCAUCAAAGCCUGUUUCAAGAUAAAAUAUACAGGUAUUGUGUUUGAAACUUAUUGUUCUGUUUCCAUCUCAUGAUGAAUGCUUAUGAUUGGUAAAUUCUUUUUGUUUUCAUUAUUUUCAGCUAAGUUGAUUAAAGAAGAUUACAUUUUUUUGUUGGGUUAUAUAGGUUCAAGUUUUUAUCGGUAGCCUUCUAGCUGUAAAAGUUUAUUUUGGUACAUGAAUAAAGGGAAAAUGAGAAUUUGAUAUUCUAGAGACAAAUUGGGAGGGGGUAUGUGUAUUUUUAAUCAUACAUGUAUAUAGUUUAUUGUCAGGAAUUGUUGAGAUAGAAAAUAUCUUGUAAUCUGGAGAGUGGUAACCUGUAUAACUUAUUUUGUGUUGUACAUUAUUUUAUUUAGUGUUUAUUUUCAAAUGAAAUAUAAAUCAUUAUUAAUAUAAACAACUAUUUCAUGAUGCAGAUUUUAUUGUUGGUGGUUUCUUAACUUGUAUUUUAAUUUUCUGUGAAUCCAGCUUUUAAAGAAAAAUAAAAGUGGGAGAGCGGUGGGGGCAUUGCAUAACUAAUAAUUUAUUUGUCAGAAUCCUGGAAAACAGCAGAUUAACUUUCAGUGGUAAGACAUCCUAACAGUUUCUUAUAUUGAUCCUUCUUGAAAGAAUCUUCAUUCCCCUAACAAAGGUAUAGAGAGAUAACCAUUCUUGUUCCAGAACAGUAUAGCUUAAAACUGCAUUGAAGUAGAGAAGUUUAUUUGAAUGAAACGUGAAAGAUCAAAUGCAUAACCAUGAGUUAAUAAAUGGUAACAUACUUUAUUCAUUGUAUUAAGUAAAUGAUUUCAUACAUCAUGUCAAACAAGUUUUAUCAUUUCUGUACUAUUUAUAUUGCAAACAUGAUUGAUAUAAAAUCAAAUUUCAAUGAUUUCUGUAUUGUGAAAAUUAUUAUUUUUCAAGAAUCAACUUUAAAUCUCAAUUUCUGUUAAUAUUGUCUGAACAAUAAUUGGUCAAAUUAGAAAGAAAUAAGGGGUUAGGCUGUUACUAACUAAUUUCUUAUCAGCAAAAUAUGACCUGUGGAAGAAUGUCCUGAUAAAGAGUACAAAAGAAUAGCAUAUCCUGUGACAGAAAGCUUGAAACCUAGACAGUAAAGUUUUCAGAAAGAGAUGCAAAGGUUCAUUAGGAUAACCUGUAUAAAAUGAUAUGUAGAAAGAACCCGAGCCAAAGAAUGGUAUUUCUUUUCUCAUUAGUUGCAAAAAAAUCAUUCAUAUUGGAAUAUAUUUUAGUGUUUUUUUCAUAAUAUAAAUCUUGUGAAAAUGUUGAGAAUUUAAUAGGUUAAUCAGUGCUUAAUGAAUUAUUGUUAAGAAAACCUUUACUUGAGUAAAUUGAAUUGGGGUGUGAAAGGGAAGGCAUGUUAUUUAUUUUUAAAAGUGAUUAAAUUUUUCUGGAUAAUAGUGUUCAAUGAAAUGGUUUAUUAACCUUUCUCGAUAGUCUAUUUUAAUAAUUUGAAAUUUAUCUUCAGAUGCUUAAAUCUGUUUGAAAUUAUGGAUUAAAAGGGGUAGGGAAGGGUUGUACUGAUAAUGUUCUUCUUUGUUAGUGAAACUAUUUGAAAUGACAGAUCAUGCUCAAGAUUUCAUACAGUAACGAUGAACAUUCCAUAAUACAGUAACAAGUUUGAACACUAUAUAAUGUAAUAGCUUGAAAAUUGAACCUACCGAGUGUGUUUGUGGCUAAAUAGUAAGUGUAUCAGAUUAUGCUUCAUAUUAUAUUGUGAAAGAGGAGUUAAAUGUCAAAAGUUAUUGGAUCAUAUCUGCAAGUUCGAAGUUUUUAUCUUAUUUAAUAUAUACAAAUAGAAAAUUUAAAAUGUUAUUGUAGAAUUUAAGAUAAAUCAGUGUAAAAUUAGAAUAUAUCAGUUUUGGUAAAGUGUAAAGUACAAUGAAGUUAUUAAGUAUGCAAGUUCUUGUUGUGUAGCUAAAUAUUAAAGUUCUGGGGUUAAAGGUAGGUUGGGGAGGGGCAAGGUAACCUAUAAUAUCUUAUUUGUCAGUGAACACAAGUCCUUGAAGAUACCAGAUUCACAUUCAGUGGAAAAGACCUAACAAGAUCUGCUUCCUGUGAUGGUCCUCUUUGUACCCAGUUCCCAGGUAGAUAGAAAGAUGUCCUCUGUUCAAGGAAAGAUUGAAACUACCGGUAGAUAAAAUAAAAUAACCAAGUGAAAAAGGUUUUGCAUUUGAAUAAGUUGUGGUCAUGACACGAUGUAAUUUGAAAUAUAUUUUUGAAAAUUUAAGAAUGCUGUAAUAUUAGUAUAAAUCUUUAAAAUAUAUUCAAUAAUGGUUAAAUUUUAUCAGAUAUGUUAUUCAAUUAUUAGUCAAUUCAGUAACAAGGGGUUGGGGUUUAACGUUUUUCAUUGCCAGCGAAAGUAACAAAAAAAAAUAAAUGUAGUUACCUGUGGAUAUUGGUCCUCACACCCAAGUUACAGUCUAAAGGGAUAGUACAUCCUGUGGCCAAAAGGUUUGAAACCACUACAAUCCAACAAGUACAGUAAAGUUUGAAAAAAGUAAUGUAUAAAAAAAGCCUUGAAGCAGAGUUGUCUUGAAUGAGAAGAGAGAGGCUGUGACAAAAGAAGAGUAUUUCUCAUAUUUAAGUUAACUAUAUUUUUUAUAUUAUUUAUAUUACAGAUUAUUUUCAUUUUAAUAAGUUGUGCUGUUAAAUUAUUAACUAUAUUGAAAAAAAUGAGGUUUCAUUAAGUUGCAAUGUUUUUGUCUUGAUCAACUUGGGAGUUUUAAUUAGAGCAAAUUAAACUAUAGAUUUGUGUAUAGUAGGAUUGUUACUUUGACAUGUUGACAUUGUAUACGUAGGUACAAGUAUUUUAGGAAAGUUUUAUAAUGAUGCAAGUCUGGUAUCUUUUGAUAGUGAUAUUUUAUGCUUAUAUACCCUUAUUGUACUGCUGUAAAAUAUACUUAUAAUUGUGUGUUGAUUGUUUCAUAGCGUUUGUAGGGUACCAUCAUUGUUUAUCAAUGAGUAUAAAAGCUAUUUGAUUUAAUAGAUAACACUUGCAUUUUUCCUAUCCAUGCCAUAUGUACAAAACUCUUUACAGGCGUGUUUGUUGCUUAAUAUGCUUGCACUUAUUUAUAUUGAAAUCCUCUAAAUUUUAUAUUUAAUAUUUUUUAAUGUUUGACUUUCACUGACAUUGACCGUUUGACAAUAAUGUUGGGUGGGUAUUAAAAACAAAGAUUUGCUUUUUUGAUAGUAUGGUUUUAACAGAUGGAUUGCAAUCUGUGCGAUGACUCGAGUGUUAUGUUGUGUCUCCAACUAGGUUGAAAUAGUUUAGUAAAAGAUCCUUGGAUGAAAUGUGACUGUGCUAAAAUCUAUAAGUAGAUGAUAAUCAAAGCUGUAGUGCCACAAUAGAAGCUUAUUUAAACCAGUUAUGUAGUUUCCACUUAAGCGUGAGCUUUUAAUAUAGCCUGUAUUACAUGUGAAGGUAUGAAUUUGUGUUGUUUGCAUGCAAGAAAUUUUAAAAUAUUUUUUUUAUGGAAAAGAAAUGUAAUUUACUGAUAUUGAAAAACUUUGUAGGGUAGGUGGGGUAAAUGAAAUAUGAAAGUUUGCCUUAAAAAUAUAAUGUAAUGUUCAAUGUGUUGGUAAUGUUUUUUUGCGAUAUUGAUUGUAUAGAUGAAAUCUAAACAAGAAAUAUGUAUAUAUCUUUAUAAUUGAGGAAGGAAGAUAAAUAUUUGGUGUGUAAAAAAAUUAGGGGGUGGGCUCAUUAUUAUCAUUCUUAGUGUUCACAGUGUGCACCAUAAAAGACCAGUGAAAAGAGAAGUGUCAUUGUCCCUCAAUAAAAGUCGAGAGGGUUAAACUAUAUUUUGCCGUUCAAGUUGGCUACAGACGCUGUUUGUCGAGCUUUCACUCUGGGAAGGCAAGUAAGCAUUUUACUUUCAUAGUUGAAAACACAUCAGUUUCUUCUAUUGAUAUUAAAACAAUUAUUAUAGUAGUUAAAAGAUCACAAGAAGUAAUGAAAAAAUAAAAGGGCAUAACUGUAACAGUAAAAAUUUCUAUUUCAAUGUCAUUUUUUAUGUCUUUUUAAAAAUCUUUCCUCAGAUUUAAAGAAACACUUUAAUGUACAUGUAUAUUCUUAAUAAGCCAUAGCAUAUGAAAAUUUGAAAAAGGUGGAAAACACUAGAUGUUAUUGUAUUUAAAAUUUGGAGGGGUGGGGUUGUAAUUUAAAUCAUUAGUAUUCCACAGUAUGCAGCAGUUGAAUAACGCAUCAGUGGUCCAUAAAGUUCCAGACAAUAUAUAAAACUGAAAAAGGGGUGUCGUGUAAGUUUUUGAUACUGACGAUCAAGUACAGUGGCAAGUACACAAAUGUAUUGGCUUUCUUGUUGGUGUGUAACAUAUUCCAGUAUUUUACCAGUGCAUGCAUCACAUAACUUUGAUUUUGUAUCUGCAUACAAUUAGCAAAACACAUGUUCCAACUGUAAUAAGUGUCACCAGUUUAGUUUAAUUCUUGGAUAAUGGUUCUUUUUAAUCAUGUUGACCUUUGUUAUUUUAUAUACUAACCAUUUUCAUAGUCUGAAUAUUCCUUAUCAGUUAGUUUAGAAGUGUAGCUCUCAAUGUAUGAUUUGUAUUGUCACUUUUUGAUAGCUGAUGUUGCUUUCUAAUUUUAAGGUCUUUCUAUAUGUAAUAUGACAGGUCAGCUGCUUUUGAUUAUGUUUUUCAUUAUAUUUAAUCAUGCUUUUUGUACCUAAAUAGUAGGCAAGUCAAGGUAUGCAUUAAUUUUCCCUGUCUGGUUUUUAUUAUUAUUUAUAUUAUUUACAUGUAUGUUUGUUUUUCAUCUCAUUUUAUGAUGUUUUGAGUGGUUUAUUUAAUUCUUUAAAGUAUUGUAAUUAUCAGCAAUAAAUGGAAAAGAGAAAAAAAAUCUUUAUAUGUGAAAAUAAAGCCAGGACUGAUAAACUUAAAAUGAGUUAGGGGAGAUAACAAGUUUUUAUUUAGGUCCCUGUAUCUGUCCUGCUGAUGAAAAUUGACCAGCCAACAACGAAAUAGAACAUUUUGGGAGAGAUGGUGGUAUUGGUAGCCAAAUAAAAAUGCAAUUGAAGUAAAAUUAUACGUACAUACUAUACUUGUAAAAGUUUUAUUUCCAUGUAAUGUGCAAUGAAUUGGAAAUAUUUUAAUAAAUAUUCAUUAAUUAAAACUUAACAACAUGCUAUCAUAUAUAAUAAUUAAAAAAUAAGUAUAGAAGAUGAAUACAAUGGUGUGAAAAUUUUUAAGGGGGGUGAGGAGUAUUAUAAUAAUUCUCAUUCACAGUAUUGACCGUACAAGACCAGUAAAAAGAGAAGCUCCAUUAAAAAAAUCAGUUACUGAAACUGAAACAUGCCUGUCUAGUUAGUUACUGAUGCUGUUUGUCAAGCUUUUGCUUUGGGAGGCAAGUAAACAUUAAUUUGUUUCUUUCAUACUAAAAAAAAAGAAUUAGAAAGUUUCCUUUUGUUGAUAUUGAAAUAUUGAAAUAAUUUUUAUGCAACUAUAAAGUGUAGAACAUAUAUAUUGCAUUUUGAGUAUAAAAAACAAUAAUAGUGAUCAUGCUAUUUUAAUGUCAUGUCUUUUGAAAGAUCUUUCCUCAGAUUUAAAAGUUAUAUAUAAAGGUAUAUUCAUGAUAAGCCAUAUAUUAAUAUUUGAAAAAAGGUAGAAAAAUAUUGGGGGGAGAGGGACUGUUAAUAAACAUUAGUAUUCCAGUAUGCACCAUUAACAGCAGCAAAGGUCCAUCUAAAAGUUCCAGGCAAUAAAUAAAAUUGGAACCAGCAUGUCAAGUAAGCUAUUUAUGCUGACUAUCAAGCUUUUAAGUACAGUGGCAAGUACACAUUAAUUACACAAUUAAUAUUAACAGUACCAAUUUUAUUGCACAAGACUUAUUGAAUGAUGACUUCUGCUAAUUGGAAUUUUUAUAUUGAAUUUAGUUUUUUUACAUUUUCUUAUAGAAUGUUGUCCCUGCUACAAUUAUAUUGCAAUACAAUAAUUUUAUUUUCAUAUUUUUUUUUCUUCCAUUGUAUUGAUGUUGGGUGGUUGGGGUGAAUUAAAUGUUCCAGUUUUUUGGCAGAGAGAAGCUAUGGUUAAACAGAGAACCAAAGAAAAUGUGGUAUGAAUUUCAGUUUUGUUCUCAUUUGUUUACAAUUUUUAAAUUAAGACAUUUGUGAAUGAAAUUUAUAAAACAGAAAGUAAGGACUUUAGUUCUUUAUUUAAGGAGAAACAUUUGUUGGAUAAAAUGUGCAAAUUGUACAUUGUAUUAAAAAUUAAUGUUAAAAUAGAUUCAUGCUUUUGUUGAAAUUUGAUGGAAAUGCUGGGGGAGGGGUUUUGACUAAUAUUGAUUUUUUUAUCCCAGAAGCACAGAUUGGAUUGAAAAUCCUGUAGUAUGGAGAAUGGAAAAUUUGGCUGUACAUUAUUGGUACAUUGUUGUAUCUGUUAAUGUGUCAACAAAUAAUCAUUUGAAUUGUAUUCCGGUACACUUACAUUUUAUUUUGACCUAUUUUUUAUCUGCAUACUAUUAGGAAAACACAUACUCCCACUUUAAUAAGUGUCGCCAGUUUAGUUUAAUUCUUGGAUAAUGGUUCUAUUUAAUCAUGUUUAUCUUUGUUAAAUUUUUAUACUAACCAAAUUCAUAAUCUGAAUAUACCUAGAUUAUCAGCUAGUGAAGCUUUUUUUUGACCUAUUUGUUAAUCUUGCAGUGAAAUUGAUGGAAAUAUUUGCUAAAUGCUGUUAUUCGUAUGGAAUAAGGGGGUGGGGAGUUCACAUUUCUUUCUUUUGUAGUAAAGGCUGUAGUAAUCAAUGUUUACAGUUAUCUGGUGAGGAAUGGUGGUGUAGCUUUGUUCUUGUUGGUGUGUUACAUAUUCCAGUAAAUUACUAAUGCAUGUUUCACAUAACUUGUAAUUUGUACUUGCAUACACUAAGCAAAACACAUGCUCCGACUUACAUAGCCUUCAGCACUUUUGUUUACUUCUUGGAUAAUGGUUCUAUUUAUUCAUGUUGAUAUUUGUUAUAUUUAUAUACUAACAAUUUUCGAAAUCUGAAUAUUCCUAGCUAGAGUAGCUUCAAACUUUGUUGUUGACAAUGUUGAGUUGUUUUGUCUCACUUUCUUACAUUGCUUUCCAUUUUGAUGAUUUUUAAUCUUUGUAUUUUACCACACAAACUGCCCUUGAUAUGUAUUCUGGUAUAUUUUUUAUGAUUUAUCCAUAGUGCUUGCUUUGUGUACAUACAAGAUAUUAAGGUUAUGCAUUUUCUAGUUAUUUAUUAUUUACUUGUAUCUCUAUUUUAUCUCAUUUUUAUGAUUUUUAUUUGACUGGUUAGAUUUUUAUUUGUAAUCAUAUAAUAAACAACAAUAAGUCUCGAGCAAAAAACGUAUUAAACUAAAAAUGAAAGUUAGCCGAGAAUUUUUAUUUAGGUCCAUUUAUCUGUGCCGUGUUGAUGAAAACAGACCAGCCAAUGACAUAAGAAAAUACAUUUGGAGAAUAAAAGAUGUUGGUUUUGGUAGCCUAAAUAAUUACUAUGGAAGUAAAAUUAUUUUUACUUAUUUACUUUAUCAAUAGAAGAAUUAUUUCCAUGUAAUGUUCAAUGGGUUUGAAAUUUCUUUUUUCUGAGAUUAACUAUUCAUCAGUUAAAUAUUAACAUGCCAAAAUAUAUAGAAAAAAGGAAGAUAAUGAAAGGGGUGGGGCGAUUAUAAUAAUUUUUAUUGUUCACAGUGUAUUCCAUAAAAGACCAGUGAAACGAGUAGCAACAUGGUCCCUCUGUAAAAAACUUGGAAGGUAAAAAUGAAAUAUGCCUGUCUAGUUAGAUAUCGAUGCUGUUUAAGUUCUGCCAAGGCAAGUGAACAUUACUUUCAUACUUGGGAAAACACUUGCAAAGUGUCUUGUAUUUAUUGUAACAAUAAUUGUAGCAGAUGAAGAUAAGAAUGUUUCUUUCUUUUGAUUGAGAAAACUGCAUUAAGGAAAAAUGGAAAAAAAGUUGUUGUGUAUAGAACAUAUUGCAUUUGAGUAAAAACUAAGUACAUAACUUAAAUCGUGAUGCUAUUUUAAUGUCAUGUUAAUGUCUUAAAAAUCUUUCCUCAAAUUUAAGUUACAUAUAUAUGUAUAUAGAAGAUUAGCCAUAGCAUAUUAAUAUUUAAAAAGAGGUAGAAAAAUACAAUUUAGAUGAAUUUGUAUGUAAAAUGGUUUGGGGAGGGGGACUGUUGAUAAUCAUUAGUAUUCCACAGUGUACACCAUUAUAAAAGGGAGCCAAUGGUCCAUCAUAAAGUUCUGGACAAAUAAAAAUUGAAACCGGCAUGUCAAGUAAGCUUUUAACUCUAGCUUUCAAGUACAGUGGCAAGUACACAUUGAUUUAUUACUCUUAUAUUUCUUUCAUAUGAAUGAAAUGAUUGUUAAAUGUUAAUUGGAAGUUUUAUUAAUUCUUGGUAUUAAAGAUUGUCAGUGUAAAACAAUUAUAAUGUAAUGCAAUGAAUUUUCUUUUUCAUAGAGUAUUUUUUUUUGCAAUUUUCUUUUAACUUUUAGUUGAUUGGUGUGGGUGGGGUGAAUUAUAUGUUCCAACUUUUUUUGCCAGAGAGAAGCAAUAGUUCAGCAGAGAACAAUUGAAGAAAAAUGGUAUGAAUUGUCUGGAUUAUUUAUUUCCCUAUUUGUUUUGCAUUUUUAGUUUUAAAUAUUUCUUAAUGUAAAUUUGUGAAAAAGGAAGUCAAGUUCUUUAUUGGAUAAAAUCGAAGAGUAUUGAUUUGACAAGAUUACAGGUGAAAAUUGCUCAUAAAAUAUUAGAAACGAAAAAAACAAGCUUUGUUGAAAUUUCAUGAAAAUGGGUAGGGAGGGGUUUUGACUAAUAUUGAAAUUUUCUCUCAGAAAGAAGCAUGGAUUGGAUUGAAAGUCUGGAGAGUAUGAAGAAAGUGGUAAAGUUAGUUGUACAUUAUUGUUGUUGGUGUUAUUUUAACCUAUUAAUGGUUCAAUAAACAAUAAUUUUAUUGGUAUACACUUCAGGAAAGAAGCAAUUAGAUUUUGUUUUUAUUUUGACAUAUUUGUUAAUCUUGCAGUGAAAAUGACAGAAAGUUUUGCAGUAAAUGCUGAUUUUUCUUAAUAGAAUAAGGGGGUGGGGUAGUUCACAUUUCUUUCUUUUGUAGUAUCAACCAUAGGUUAUCUGGUGAGGAAUGAUGGUGUAGCUUUGUUCUUGUUGGUGCAUUAAAUAAUCCAGUAUUUUACCAAUGCAUGUAUCACUUAAAUUGUAUUUUUUACUUGCAUACACUUAGCAAAGCAUAUGCUCCCACUUUCAUAGAUGUCACCAGUUUAGUUAAUUCUUGGAUAAUGGUUCUUUUUAAUCGUGUUGAUCUUUGUUAUUUUUAUACUAACCAUUUUCAUAUUCCUAGAUUAUCAGCUAGUGCAGCAUUGACCUGUAUGGAUAUAUGAUUGUUUUGUCACCUUCUAAUGGCUGAUGUUGCUUUUUAUUAUGAGGUAUUGAAUCCUGAUGUAUUAUAACAGGUCAGCUGCUUUUGAUUUUUUAUUUUUUUUGCAUACUCAGCAUUAAUGGUCACUCUUAAUUGAUAGAUAUUUGUUUUUGUCGCGUUCUGAUGGCUGAUGUUGCUAUUUAUUUUGGAGUCUUUAAUCCACAUGUAUUCUAACAGGUCAGCUGCUUUUGAUUUUUUGUGUGUAUAGUUCAUCAUUAUUGGUUUAUCUGCAGCACUUGUCAUUUUGUAUUUAUAUACCUACAUAAUAGGCAAGAUUGGUAGCAGACAUUUUAUUUCAGCAUGCAUGCAUCAGAAUUGGAGAGGAUACAAGUAAAUAUAUGACCAAGGAAGGCAAAUAAGAUAAUUAUGCAAGGACCCUGAUCUUUGGCUUACUAAAAUUGGCAUGCCAGGAAGUGAGACAACACUGCCAGCUGGUCAGAGCAGAGGGUAAACCUACCUCCCCCUCUCUCAGUUUGGCUUGAAAGGAGAGAGUCAGGGUUGGGUAGCCGGCUCGCAGCAAUAACCUGUGCACAUUAGGCUUCCAAAAUAUAAAUGUAUUUUAGCAAAGUUAAGUAUUUAGUAGAUCUUUCAUAUAUUGUUCACUAAUCAACAUCAAUACAAUAAUGCUAAUUUUGAAUCAUUUUAAUAUGCUCAGUUAUAUAAAAGAUAUAAAUAUAAGUGUGUAAAAUUUAAUUUUUUUUAUAUAAGCAAACUUUCUCAAAAUGUUUUAUUCAGUAGAUUUAUUAACCAAUGUUAACUGUCCAACAUUAAUGAAGCUCAUUUUGAUGUGCUGAAAACUGCAUACAAAAGACUAAAUAAACAUUUUUGAAAAAAGGUGAAAAGGUAUUUUUAAUAAUAAAUACAGAAAUGAUAUACACAAGUAAUAUAUUUAUAAUUUACAGAGUAUAACAAAAUAUAAAAGAAAUGUAAAUAUUAAAAAGUUAAUAAACUAUCAUAAUCAUAA